AGUGAACGCUGGCGGUAGGCCUAACACAUGCAAGUCGAACGGCAGCACGGUAAGAGCUUGCUCUUACGGGUGGCGAGUGGCGGACGGGUGAGGAAUACAUCGGAAUCUACUUUUUCGUGGGGGAUAACGUAGGGAAACUUACGCUAAUACCGCAUACGACCUACGGGUGAAAGCAGGGGAUCUUCGGACCUUGCGCGAUUGAAUGAGCCGAUGUCGGAUUAGCUAGUUGGCGGGGUAAAGGCCCACCAAGGCGACGAUCCGUAGCUGGUCUGAGAGGAUGAUCAGCCACACUGGAACUGAGACACGGUCCCGACUCCUAAGGGAGGCAGCAGUGGGGAAUAUUGGAAAAUGGGCGCAAGCCGGAUCCAGCAAUACCGCGUGGGUGAAGAAGGCCUUCGGGUUGUAAAGCCCUUUUGUUGGGAAAGAAAAGCAGCAGGUUAAUACCCCGCUGUUCUGACGGUACCCAAAGAAUAAGCACCGGCUAACUUCGUG
rnacentral:rRNA from 1 species